CCCUACGGGAGGCAGCAGUGGGGAAUAUUGCACAAUGGGCGAAAGCCUGAUGCAGCAACGCCGCGUGAGGGACGACGGCCUUCGGGUUGUAAACCUCUUUUAGUAGGGAAGAAGCGAAAGUGACGGUACCUGCAGAAAAAGCACCGGCUAACUACGUGCCAGCAGCCGCGGUAAUACGUAGGGUGAAAGCGUUAUCCGGAAUUAUUGGGCGUAAAGAGCUCGUAGGCGGUCUGUCGCGUCUGCUGUGAAAACCGGAGGCUCAACCUCCAGCCUGCAGUGGGUACGGGCAGACUAGAGUGCGGUAGGGGAGAUUGGAAUUCCUGGUGUAGCGGUGGAAUGCGCAGAUAUCAGGAGGAACACCGAUGGCGAAGGCAGAUCUCUGGGCCGUAACUGACGCUGAGGAGCGAAAGCGUGGGGAGCGAACAGGAUUAGAUACCCCAGUAGUCCCC
rnacentral:rRNA from 1 species